rnacentral:rRNA from 1 species
AUUGAACGCUGGCGGCAGGCCUAACACAUGCAAGUCGAGCGGAUGAGGAAAGCUUGCUUUUCGAUACAGCGGCGGACGGGUGAGUAAUGCCUAGGAAUCUGCCUGUUAGUGGGGGAUAACCCGGGGAAACUCGGGCUAAUACCGCAUACGUCCUACGGGAGACAGUGGGGGAUCUUCGGACCUCACGCCACCAGAUGAGCCUAGGUCGGAUUAGCUAGUAGGUGAGGUAAUGGCUCACCUAGGCGACGAUCCGUAACUGGUCUGAGAGGAUGGUCAGUCACACUGGAACUGAGACACGGUCCAGACUCCUACGGGAGGCAGCAGUGGGGAAUAUUGGACAAUGGGCGAAAGCCUGAUCCAGCCAUGCCGCGUGUGUGAAGAGGUCUUCGGAUUGUAAAGCACCUUAAGUUGGGAGGAAGGGUAUUCACCUAAUACGUGGGUACUUUGACGUUACCAACAGAAUAAGCACCGGCUAACUCUGUGCCAGCCGCCGCAGUAAGAC